rnacentral:lncRNA from 1 species
UUAACAAGACUUUCAAAUCAAAAUGGAUUAAAGCAAACAAUUCUGAUCGUGAAUAAGAUUUUUGAGCUGUAAUUCCAUCUCCAAUGCACCCCUCACCGCAUGUCUCUUUGAGCACAAUAGUCUUCAACAAAUCCAGCUCCUCAAUCAAGGAAUUGAUUGUCCUUUCAACAACUUCUUCAUUAACAUGCUGCAGUAAGAAGAUAUAGGUAGCAGCAGCACUUCCAGUUACUAACUGAUUUGGAUGCAGACGCAAUUGAGAUAUAGGGGCAUCAAAUCCUAUUAUCUUUUCAGCAGAUGAUGGGAGAAGCCCAUGCUUUUGAAGCGACAGCAACUGUAAAUUAGUUUUAAGAACCCCAUGAACCUGAAAGGAAGUAAUAUUUACAGUCCUUGUGAGUUGGACUGUAUUCCGCAUGUCCAAGCUCUGAAACAAAAUAUCAACCGCAAUAGGGAAAAAUGUUGAAAACCUAUCGCCUAAAAUUUCUGCUAACAAAGUCAAGCACUUCCAAGAAUCCUGAAUCCAUUUUGACCAACCAUAUUUCCUUCCAAUCUGUGAUAAACAUCCUAAUAAAAGAGGAACCAUUUUGCAAAGAGGUUCAGUAAUCUGUCCCAGCAUAUUCAUUUCCAGCAAACCAGAUGCUACAGACUUCAAAACUGUAGAAAAGCAAGAUAGUAAAGCAAGUAAUCUUUGAAAUUGCUGUGGAGUACCAGGACUUCCAUCCUGAAGUAACACAUCCAUGUCUCCUAGAAACUUUGAUAGCAAUCCCAAGGAGAACUGCAUGUUAUUUACCCAGUGUUUCUGAAAUUGCAAGAAACUGUCCAUAAUCACACUCCGAUCUGAUUCUGCCAGGUCAGGCACCAUUGCCCACCCAAGGAGCAGAUCAACAAUGUCAACAAAGUGAGGCUGGAAACAUCUAGAAAAGUUUAAAGAAAUUAUAGUUAAAACAGCAAGAAGUCUGUGCAGUAAAAUCAGGGAGGUUCUCUCAUCUUCGAGAAGUUCCUGGCAUGCUUUGAGAACAGGCAAGGCAUAUCUUUCGACUGCCCCAACAUCUCCAACACUAAGAAAUUCUCGUAGAGCUUCCAAAGCCAGCUCCGCUGUCGCAUUUCCUAUAUUGAUAAGCAGUGGCAAUGCCCAACCCAUGAACCGGUCAACCAAGCCACUGAGUAUAACAUGAUUCUGCCUUCCAUUUGAUGCUAGAGGGACUGAACACAGUACAGAGCACAAAGCCCCAUAUGCUGUGGCUGCUGACUGCCGUACCAAAUAUGAUCUAAGCAACACAGUGAAAGCAAAAGAUAAAUCAACAGAAAUGAAGUAUAUUAUCCUGAUCAUUAACUGGUCAAUAUCCACUCAAAAUUUAAAGACCCUUUAUUACAAUGAAUACAAGUAAUUACAUCCUAUUAAAGUGCAAGGUAUGUGAUGCACUUGGCCCAUCAACAGAACCAACUGGAAUGUAGGUUGUAUAACAAAUUGCUAUUCUUGUGCCAUCCAAGAACAAAUGUUUGAUAGAUUGAGAUGGAAUAAACUUCAAUUUUUUUUUUUAAUGAAUUGCAUAAGCUAUUGAAACAUAACAAGACAAGUCACGUGAAUACACUCUGAUGCCAAAUCUGCAGCUAAUUUUUAAUGGAAAGUUUCAAAUCAUUAGUCACAUAUAUUUUCAACCACUGUUGACAUGAACAUGGAUUAACAAACUUAUUUCGGUGGCCCAGUGGAUCUUUUAUCUUUCCCCUCAAAUACCUAUCCUUUACAAGAAACUUGUAAUUGUGCAGAUUCUAGUUGCUGAAUUUAAUUUCAAGCAUAUCUCUCAUGAUUUUAAACCACUCCUUGAAGCAAAUCAGAAUUAGUUUGAUAAUAAAUGCAACUACAGUGGAGAUCAAUGACUACAUGCUAGACUUAACUAGCUUGGAAAUAAUCAGGGGAUGGACACUAAUUUCAGCAAAAUCAGACGCCAAAAGACACAACUGACUGGAGUUUUAGAGGAAGAGUUGGUCUUUACAAUUUUCCUUAACCAAAAAUUCUCUAUGCAGAUAAAGCUCCAAUUCCAGAGCUGUGCACCCAGUUUAAACUUCUUAACCAGACUAUCCUAGCAUAGAAUAAUGACAAAGCAAUACGAGAUGAACAUCACCACUACUACUGUCCAAAUAUUUUUUAACAACUAAACGAAAGAAAGAGCAGGAAAGAGAACUCUUGUCAGAGAAGGAAAAUUUUGCUUUACCAAACAAGCCAGUAUCUUUUGAAGCUCCUCAGGAAUUUCCUUCUCUUGGGUGUUUGCAUCAACUAGAGCAGGGUACACAAUAGACCAAGGAGAUAGUUUUGACAGCUUGACCAGUAAAGUUUCUAGCUGUCUCCUAACUACUUGUUCUGGAUGACAACUUAAUCGUGCAAAUAGUUGAGGUGUUAUCUCCUUCAAAAAAAAAUAAUUAUUAGAAAAUCAUCCACCAACAUUGGUAUGACAUCCUAAAAGCGUAACUCACCUGCCAUGGUAGCAAAGGAACAGUUGAAAGUGCAGGUUCAAGAGUAUCUUCCAACUCAACGCCAUAGUUGAGAAGAAUAUUUAAGACGUAUAAAGUUGCCCUCAUUGUGUAGCUCAUGGACUUAUGAUUUGAGUGAUGCAGGCCAGAUAGUUGACAAUCAGAGUACAUGGAAGAUGAAUACGAAAGGUAAUUGAUGAAAGCUUGAGCUGCUUGACCAAAGAGGGAUACCCUUCUUCUUCUCAAAGACCGCCAAAGAUCAGUUAUAUCAUCAAUCAAGGAUGUUACUGCUGGAUCAUCAAGGGCAAUCUUUGCACUGGCUAAGGACUUCUGCAAUUUAGAUUUUAGCAUAGCAGAAAGGGUUUCACCACUAUGAUCUUCAGCUCCAGGUGCUCCUGCUGUAGCUUCAAGAAUAUCUGUUAUUUGCUCAGACAAAGAUUUGACAUUCUCCUUCUGCCAACAUUCUGAGACAACAAAAUUUUCCAUAUUCUCAUUUAGAACUUCUAACGAUCUUUUCUGUAGGAGCUCUGAGACAAUGUCUUUCACUUUUAGCUGCUCUAUCUCGGUUAAACUUAAGCUUUGAUGAUGGAUUUCAGAAUGAAAAGCAGAUGAAACGGAAGAAGAAUGAAGGAGAGCUUCAUUAUCUGCAGAAAGAAAUGAUCUUGCCCGAGCAUAACACCAAGAGGCAUAUGAAAUCCAUGACUUCCCCAUAUUAAGGCAGAGUCGAGUAGAUAGCUCCCUUGCAGCACCCACAAAUUCCUCAGUAAUAGCAUCAAUAUUAGGUUUAGCACUCAGAGCAUCAUUUCUAAAGCUAGAAAACCCUCUGCCAGAGUCAAACGUGUCAGUAUUAAUAAAAUCUUCUCUAAACUUCAGAACGACAUCUUUCAACCUUGGAUCUGAAUAAUUUUGUUCCAACCAAUUUGACAGUUUUAAACAUGCCUUUGCCUUCAAGACAUUGUCAAAAGAAUCAGAAGAAACAAUUGCAGAAGAAAGCAUGCUAGGACGUACAAGUGACCACAUAUUGGAAAAUGCAUCAUCAAGCUUGCCUUCACUGUGCAUCAACAGGAUGUCCUCAUACUGCAAACUGGAGAUGAUAUAAUCACGAAAGUCGGUGUCAGGGCAAUUUGCUACAUUCUCCUUAAGGUAGUUGCUUAGACGAUUUGCCAACACCAAAUUUCUUUGCUUGCGAGAUAAGUUCAACAAGUUAUUACAUAGCUUGAGAGUCGCAGGUGAUGUUGGUUGAGUAUUUUGGUAAACUCGGAGUACUUUUAGCCAUAAACUGCAAUCUUGAUGAACUCGAUUAAUCGGGGACUGAACUGCUUGAAUAUAUGAUCCUAAUAAUGACUCUAAAUGAUUGUCUUGGCUGCCCCGCAUCUGGUACUUUUCCUCCAAUGCCAGUAUGCAGUAUAAAUGGUUGACAUGUGGUGCAGCAUCAGAGAGACCAUCGAGGGGAAGAACAGAUAGUGUUUCCUCCAGUAUUGACUUGGCUUUCUGCAAUUCGUGAGGUACCUUGUCCACUUUCCCCUCCUUCUGGAAAAGCAUUGCCUGCAAAAGCAUUUGCUCACUCCUUUGCAAGGCUAACUUGGGAUCAAGUGUGAGUUCAUUGCUACUUUUUGGUGUCAAAUCAAGGCAUGCCCAUGAUGCCUGAACAUCGCCCUCAUCAAAACGGGCUAAUGCUUGGACGGAGUUUAUUUCAUUUCCUGCAGUAGUUAGAGCACCAGAGUAGCUCUUUCCUGCAUGCUUUGAUCGUAGUGCUUGCAGCUCCAACAACCAGGAUUCCAAAGCUUUCCAAUCAGAAACUGCAGUAUAACUCUCAAUAAUACGAGCAAUAGCAAACUGUACUCCUUCAGAACCCAUAGAACUGAGUGAAUCAUCGGUCUGUAGCAGAUGUAUAAAAUGUGCUGCAGCCUUCUCAUGUUGGCCCUUUGCCUGAUAUACUAGUCCAGUUAUCCAUGAAAAUUGUUCUAGAAUCUCACUAUCACUUAACCUUUGAUUGUCCUCAGCAAACAAUGGAAAGAAUGCCAUGCUUGUCCACUUUUGUAGACCAAUUAAUGCCUCUGAUUCAUGAUUCUUACAGAGAGCUAAUGCCAUGUGCCGUACAACCCUCAAAAUUUCUCCAUCAAACCUACCCCUGAUACUCUGGACAACUUCACUCACCUGGACUCUUGAAUUGUCCGUGAAAGAUGAAGCAACAAAAUUCUUAAGCUCUCGUAAACGCAGUGUGCAGUAUUGGAUUGUAGCAUCAUGACACUGGAGUGCCAAUCCAGCAUUCAUCAUUGGUUCACAUAUGCGAGAAAACCACUCCUCACAGACUUUCUUAUUUGCACGGAAGAACAAAGAGCUCUGCCUAGAUGGACAGGGCAAAACUGUUGAUCCUUCAUAUGCAUUGUACACAUUUUUCUUCAGAGCCUCAACAAAAUCUAGCAACAGCCUCAUUGGCAACAAAUGAGCAUAAGAAGUGCUGGUGAUGGUCAAAUUUCCAUCACUUUGGUGAGUAUCAAGCUGUAGCAGAUGAGAAAUGUCCAGAAGCAUUCGUUCCAAUGCAGCAAAAGUUUGAGUGGGGCCACCAAGAUUGGUCCGGAGUCUCGUAGAAAUACAGCACCUUGCCGCUUCAUUUAUAGCCCACCAGGCACCUGCAAGAAUAUUGGUAGAGCAGACUCUUUCAAGAAUAUCCCUCUCCACUUUGACGUCCCUCCACAAUCCAUUUACAUCAGCGUUUACCAAUUCCUCUGACUGUAUUAAAGGAUGGUCUUUCGAGUUCCGGCAGGAACAGAUUAACCGUUGAAUCCAAGAAGACAAAGGCACUUUCCAUCUCUGAGAAAUGUAACUCAAUAUGGAAACAAGUUGCUGUGAGCGAAGUUGAUGAGGUAGUUGCUUUAUGGCAAAGACUUGCUUCCAGUACAAAUUAGGCCUGUUUUUAACUCCACAAAUAACACUGCUAGAAGAAGUAAUCAUUCUACAAUCAUACAGACCAAAAACAUAUAUAGUAAUAGGCAGAACAUUGCAAAGCAACCUACCAAAUGCAUUUUUUAUAUCUUUUUCUGGGUCCCCAAGUUUCUCAAGGACAGUCUCAGCAAUGUACAGGAAGUGAGAGGGAUGGACAAGUUUUGCUUGCAGAAGCAUGUCUAGAACCAAUUUGACAAGAGAUCUUACUCUUGGUUCUCUGUCUGAUGCAGAAUCCAAAAUGGAGAACAGCAAAUUCUGCAUGACCUCUACAUAUCCCCAGACUUCACAAGGAUAAUGUGUUGCCUCCACAUUCUCAUAUGCACAGAUUACAUUUUUACAGAAUUUAGUUAUCCAUUCUAAGGCUUCUAUUUUAACAGCUAAAGGAGCAGCAGUGUCAAGAGCUUUAACAAGGAGAUUGGAGUAAUUUCUCAAAUACUCCAAAACUAGUAUUGGAUGUUGAUUUUUAAUAUUAUCCUCCUUCAUUGGCUUUGAAAGUGCAGGUUCUCUUGUAGAGCAACUAGUCAGAAACUCAACGUCACUCAGCCUUUGCAAUGUCUGCAAUACUGCUAGUUGCAGUUCUACAUAGGCUUCAAUAGGUAAGCUAAAAGGAUCUAAUUUCUCCACCAAAAAGGAUAAUAAUCUCUUUGACCUAUUAAGAUACAACGUGUCAACUUCUGUAACAUUCAUAUAGCGACUUCCACCUGGAGAAACACACGUUAACAAGACUUUCAAAUCAAAAUGGAUUAAAGCAAACAAUUCUGAUCGUGAAUAAGAUUUUUGAGCUGUAAUUCCAUCUCCAAUGCACCCCUCACCGCAUGUCUCUUUGAGCACAAUAGUCUUCAACAAAUCCAGCUCCUCAAUCAAGGAAUUGAUUGUCCUUUCAACAACUUCUUCAUUAACAUGCUGCAGUAAGAAGAUAUAGGUAGCAGCAGCACUUCCAGUUACUAACUGAUUUGGAUGCAGACGCAAUUGAGAUAUAGGGGCAUCAAAUCCUAUUAUCUUUUCAGCAGAUGAUGGGAGAAGCCCAUGCUUUUGAAGCGACAGCAACU